GAGAGAGAGGGAGAGAGAGACAGAGAGAGAGAGUGAGUAUGUGAGUUCUGGUGGCUUCCUCCUACUGAAGCUCUCCUUGGGUGGAACGCAACUGGACCCGGGUAGGUGGCAGCUGUGAUGGUCCCCUCACUGCUCACACUCCUCUGACUCCAAGCGCCCGCCCGGUACUUUUCCUCCCUCUUCCUCAGCCGGGCCUCCACACCACAUUCCACUGCUCCAGCAGCGGAAGCAAAGGCGGGCUGAGGUCUCUCUGGGUGAGUGACAGCGUCUGAGAUGAGAUCAAGUCAAUGCCAGUGUUGGGGGACAACAGCCUUUCCCUGAGUCACCUCCGUCCCACCUCCUGUGUCUCAUGACACACAGCUGAGUCUGUCGACCACUGGGCCUGUGUAAUGGAUGGUGUGUCAGCCUUGGGUGUCAGACAGUGGGGCUCUGGUAACCUGGGAGCAAUGUGUCUACUUGAGAACCUAGGGCUGACCCGUGCUAAGCGAGUGUGUCCUGGACUUUGGGGCUUAGCCUGGCACGCGUAUGUCGUUCUGUGUCUCCGUCCCCUGGUGGAGGAUGAGGGUUGCUCCAGCUUCCCCAAUGAUGUUGCAGGGAUUUUCCUCAGCCAUGAGGAUGGGGUGAGACAUUUACACACAAAGACAGCAUACCAGGAAACCGGAAGGGCUGGGCGGGCCCCUGGGAUUUAAAAGUUGACAGCUUGACCCAGCUGGCACGCUCCUUUCUGCUGUGUCAUUUUUCCCCCCGAGCUACAGGGCAUGUCUGCAGGACGCUCAACCCCACCUCCCACCCACGAUCUAUUCCCUUAUUCUGCGAGCCCACUCAUUUUCCUACAGCGUUUACCUUCUUAGGGUCCACAGUUAGAGAACACAGGAAACACGAGUUUCCCUGCUUCUAAACCCUAUUCUGCUUCCUCUGUCUAACCAGGGGGAGUGUUGGACAACAUUAUUUUCAGGUGUGGUGCAGUUUCUUUACGCUCUGAAGCACUUGUUCAAGGAUGCAAAGACGUGCUGCUCUUGAUCAUGCCGCACUAGCUUAACUCUGUGAAGCUGUGAUUCGUUGCCUGUCUAAAACACCUGAUGGUCCUAAUAAAGGGCUGAACGGCCAAAUGGCGGGGCGGGAGAGAGGAUAGGCGGGGCUGGCGGGCAGAGAGUAUAAAUAGAAGGAGAAAUUUGGAGAAGCAGCAAGAGAGAGCAAGGAUGGAGAAAAUGGGUGGGUCACCCAACCAGUCAUGGAGUAAGAGUGAAAUCAAGAUUACAGAAGAAAAGGAAAAGGCCAGAGGCAGAAGGUAGAUGGGAUGAUUUAAAUUAAGAAAAACUGGCUAGAGGAGCAGUGCAGAGGCCCCUGGCCCCUGAAGCUACUCAAAUCUCCUGGACCUCUGAAUGUCAGAAGAUAGGAAGGACCCUCUCUGCCCGCCCUGCGUCCGGCUUCACGAAGCCCAUAGUGCCCUCUUCCUGUCUCUUGGGGGUCAGAAGCACCAAGCACGUUCUGCAGGGAGAGCCUCCACGUGAACCUCAAAGCAGAGGCUGUCGGACCCUGUUGCUGAGGGGAGGAUCGGGCCUUCUAAUGGAACAUCCAGUAAUGUACAUGGAUCAUGAGUUCUGCACAGCUCCCACAUCAUACCGUGGCUUCCUUAGAAUUCCAGUGCAAGACUGAACACUGAGAACUGUCAGCCUGGACUUCAGGUGUGUCUGUAUACCACAUGUGUGCUUGGUGCCCAAGGAGGCCAGAAGAGGGUCCCUUGGAAAUGGAGCUGCAGAUUGUGAGCUGCGGUUCGAGCAAGAACAUAGGUCCUCGGGAAAGUAACAACUGCUCUAAAGGCUGAGCCCAUCUCUCCAGCCCCUCGGAGUAGUUUAAAUCUCAGCAUCUACAAACUUAAGUCAUGAUUCUGAUUAUACAUGCUUAGGUGAACUAUGUCUCGGAACGGAUGUUUGACAGCUGCCGGGUAAGCAGAAUGUACUUGCUUUUUUAUCCGUCAACCAAUGAAUAUCAGCUUUCCCGUAACUAAGGGCAGCCAGGCAGGUUUAAUAAGAGCACCCGUGUGACCUGGUAGACAUUGUUUAACACCCCUAUUCUUAUUUCUGGAUCCGUGAAGCAGCUGACCAAUCGCUGGCUUUCCUGAGCUGGGACUGUGUCUAGUUCUGUCUUGGGUGUUUUUCAACCCUUCAGGCUCCCAUUCACCCCCUUACUCGAAGCACUUACAGUCUUUUCAACUUUCUGUCCUCCUUCCUGCCCCUGGAACUCACUGGAGGAAGAGGCAAAUUACUUUCUCUACCCACACAGCCCAGUUACAGGGGGACCACAGUGUUCCUUAGCUCCAAUCUUCAGAACCAGUCACAGAGUGAACGCCUUGUGCCUCCACAGUACCUGGGAGCCUCCCUGAUGGUGAAGUGUCCUUAGGGCGCAUCCUGGCCACUGACUCUUUGUGGCUGCCUGCUAGGUUGGCAUAAAUACCCCCCUGGAAGGCCUGCGGCUUUGUCCUAGCCCGGAGCACUGUUGGGAUGUAGUAAAAAAUCUUUAAGAAAUAGGACCCAGCGGGAGGGUUUAGGUCUUUGGGGAAGGGUGUGUGCAGGCUAGUUUUAUGUCAACUUGCCACAAGCUAGAGUUAUCUGAAAGGAGUCUCAAUUGAGUAAAUGCCUCCAUGAGGCCCAGCCCAUUGUGGGUUGUAUCAUCCUUGAGCUGGUGCUCCUGCGUUCUAUAGAAAAGCAGCUAGUCAGUAAGCAGCUUCCAUCCACGCUCUAGGCAUCAGAUCCCACCUCCAGGUCCUGGUCCUCACUGCCCCCCCCCUUUAAAGACAGGGUUUCUCUGAGUAGCCCCUGCUGUCCUGGAAUUAACUCUGUAGACC